rnacentral:rRNA from 1 species
UGGGGAAUCUUGCACAAUGGGCGCAAGCCUGAUGCAGCGACGCCGCGUGAGGGAUGACGGCCCUCGGGUUGUAAACCUCUUUCGGCAGGGACGAAGCGAUCGUGACGGUACCUGCAGAAGAAGUCCCGGCUAACUACGUGCCAGCAGCCGCGGUAAGACGUAGGGGACGAGCGUUGUCCGGAUUCAUUGGGCGUAAAGCGCGCGUAGGCGGCCGCGCAAGUCGGAUGUGAAACCCCGGGGCUCAACCCCGGGCCUGCACCCGAAACUGCGUGGCUAGAGGUAGGUAGGGGAGAUCGGAAUUCCUGGUGUAGCGGUGAAAUGCGCAGAUAUCAGGAAGAACACCGGUGGCGGAGGCGGAUCUCUGGGCCUUACCUGACGCUCAGGCGCGAAAGCUAGGGGAGCGAACAGG